GUUGGGGAGCCCUUGCGCCUAGCCCCUUGCUGGUGUGUGGCCGUGGCUGGGGAGCCGCUAUGCCUGGCCCCUUGCUGGCGUGGACAUGAUCGACAAGCUUGGUCGUCGUCGAGCCCUUGGUGAGCCUCCAUGGCGAGCGCGACGAGGUCUAUGCAUGGCCACUACGGGAGAGACGAUCCAUCGAUCUCUUGUGGAAAUAAAAACAAAUUGUUACAUGUGUAACAUGUGGCAAUGGUGGGUAAAUACCCUUCAAAUCUACGACUACAUACAACAAAUGAAUACUAGGAGCAUCUCUUUUGUUGUUCUACCAAAAUGGUGGAGUUGCCCCCCAACUCCACGUUUUUUUGAGCAGAGUUGCUAGAGUUCAGCGUGGUUGGUAACCAAAUCAUGGAGCGAAGUAUCAUAACAUGGAGUGGGAGCGACGGCGACGACCUCCCUUAGGACCGAGCAGUGGCAGUGACAUCUCCUAGGAGCGAGCGGCGAUGGUAGAUCCUAGAGGCGCCUGUGACGGUGGAAACUCCUCGAAGCUGCAAUGAAGCAGGCCCCAGAGUUGCGCGACGGUGAGGCCGUCCGAGGGCAAGUGCGGCGGCGGCGGCAGCCACCCGGACGCUAAUGACGACGGAUCUAGGCAACGACAUGCUCUAAUCAUUGUUUAUGUAUGGGGGUGUUGGUUGGACACUUUUUAU
rnacentral:lncRNA from 7 species